rnacentral:rRNA from 1 species
GACGAACGCUGGCGGCGUGCUUAACACAUGCAAGUCGAACGAAGAGCGAUGGAAGCUUGCUUCUAUCAUCUUAGUGGCGAACGGGUGAGUAACGCGUAAUCAACCUGCCCUUCAGAGGGGGACAACAGUUGGAAACGACUGCUAAUACCGCAUACGAUCUAAUCUCGGCAUCGAGGAUGGAUGAAAGGUGGCCUCUAUUUUAUAAGCUAUCACUGAAGGAGGGGAUUGCGUCUGAUUAGCUAGUUGGAGGGGUAACGGCCCACCAAGGCGAUGAUCAGUAGCCGGUCUGAGAGGAUGAACGGCCACAUUGGGACUGAGACACGGCCCAGACUCCUACGGGAGGCAGCAGUGGGGAAUCUUCCUCAAUGGACGAAAGUCUGACUGAGCAACGCCGCGUGAGUGAUGACGGCCUUCGGGUUGUAAAGCUCUGUUAAUCGUGACGAAAGGCCUUCUUGCGAAUAGUUAGAAGGAUUGACGGUACCGGAAUAGAAAGCCACGGCUAACUACGUGCCAGCAGCCGCGGUAAUACGUAGGUGGCAAGCGUUGUCCGGAAUUAUUGGGCGUAAAGCGCGCGCAGGCGGAUUGGUCAGUCUGUCUUAAAAGUUCGGGGCUUAACCCCGUGAUGGGAUGGAAACUGCCAAUCUAGAGUAUCGGAGAGGAAAGUGGAAUUCCUAGUGUAGCGGUGAAAUGCGUAGAUAUUAGGAAGAACACCAGUGGCGAAGGCGACUUUCUGGACGAAAACUGACGCUGAGGCGCGAAAGCCAGGGGAGCGAACGGGAUUCGGUACCCCGGUAGUCCUGGCC